UACGUAGGGUGCGAGCGUUGUCCGGAAUUACUGGGCGUAAAGAGCUCGUAGGUGGUUUGUCACGUCGUCUGUGAAAUUCCGGGGCUUAACCUCGGGCGUGCAGGCGAUACGGGCAAUACUUGAGUGCUGUAGGGGAGACUGGAAUUCCUGGUGUAGCGGUGGAAUGCGCAGAUAUCAGGAGGAACACCAGUUGCGAAGGCGGCUCUCUGGACUGUAACUGGCGCUGAGGCACGAAAGCGUGGGGAGCAAACAGGAUUAGAUACCCCGGUA
rnacentral:rRNA from 1 species